rnacentral:lncRNA from 1 species
UAAACACUAUCUUACACCCUCUUCCCAACAACCGGAGGGUCUUAGAACAUUUCUGUCCCUUCUAAUUUACAUGCUAUUGUUGUCUAGUAUUUUAGUUGACACUAUUCUUUUAUAUAUACAUAUGUAUUCAUAUUUAUAAUUUUAUUUGCUUGCCAUUCCAUCUUAUAUCUAAGACCAUCACUCGGCUCAUUUUCCUUUAUUUAUUUAUUUUUUUAAGAUGGAGUUUUGCUCUUUUUGCCCAGGCUGGAGUGCAAUGGCGUGAUCUCGGCUCACUGCAUCUUCUGCCUCCCAGGUUCAAGGGAUUCUCCUGCCUCAGCUGCCCGAGUAGCUGGGAUUACAGGUGUGGGCCACCAUGCCCAGCUAAUUUUGUAUUUUUAGUAGAAAUGGGGUUUUGCCAUGUUGGCCAGGGUGGUCUCAAACUCCUGACCUCAGGUGAUCCACUGCCUCAGCCUCCCAAAGUGCUGGAAUUACAGGCGUGAGCCACCGUGCCCAGCCCUAUGUUGCCUAGGCUGGUCUUGAACUCCUAGGCUCAAGUGAUCCUCCCCCUUAGGCCUCCCAAAGUGUUGGGAUUAUAGGCAUGAACCACUGCACCUGGCCUGUUUUUCAUUUCCAAAAGUUCUUUAAGGAGUCCUGCCUAUUCAUGCGUGACAGUAUGUACCCUACAGCUUUCUCAUCACUGACUGCGCGACUUCUUUGAACACCUCACACAUAACUAUCCUCUCACCUGUAUGAUGACAGUUUCAGGAUCUGCGUUUCUUUGUGGCUGACAGCGGCUGCCUGCUGUUUCUGUUGGCCCUCAGUCAGCUGACUCUCCUUGUGUGCUUGGGGAUCUUUGCAAGCUGAAUGCCUGACUUACGAGCAGGAAUGAGGCUAAGCCAGGUAAGCUUCCUUCAGGGAGCAGGUGCUUUGACCGCUACUGGUACCUGAGGAUCUUGGCUCAGCAUGGGAGACACAGGCUCAUCUUCCCACCUCACCACCGGCCCAGGGGUCAGGAGCUUAAUUAACGGUGGGGCCACCAAAUCCAUUCUGAGACCACCCCUGCCCCUACAGGCUGCACAACCCUAAGCUCAUGCAUUUUAACAAAAUCGGUGCCAAGAGCCCUCAAAGCGACUGUCUUGGAAGCGGCAGCCAGCUCAGGACCCAGAAUUCUUCCCAAUUAGUCCUUACCUGGGCAGAGAACUGCAGGAGGUGGUCACAAGCCACACCCAGACCAGGAUGGGCGAAUCCUGCAACCGCACCCCAGGGGCUCACGGCCAGUAGGCGGCUCACAUUUCCCUGUCAUCCCAAGAAACUCAAAGCCCACCUCGCUUAAUUCAUGAUGACAGAGCUUUACUAUACGCCCCCAAAAACGCUCCCCAAAGAGACACUUCUACUUUUCUAUCUAGAAAAUAACAUUUUAAAAAAUGAAAAUAUUUUACAGGAAAUAACAUUUGUACAUACUCAUAACAGUCUCAAAGAGAAAACGAUUCCUCUACCCACAGAACGCUUCUGAAAUCACAUGUGUGUAAGCCUUUCCCUCCACACCAACCAGCUCUCCAACUCCCUCUCAGACACCAACGCGAUGUCCUACAAUUUAACUCGAUUCUGUCACCAAUUGCCCGGAGCUAGUGCAGAACCCACAGGGUAAGGGGUCAGUCCCACAAGACCACCCCGACUUCAGAUGCCAAGUGCAGACGGUGGGCCCCGGGGACCCCACGACCCCCUUCUCAGGUUCCAAUUUUUUUUUUGAGAUGGGUCUCUCUGUCGCCCAGGCUAAAGUACAGUGCCCAGAUCUCCGCUCACUGCAACCUCCGCCUCCCAGGUUCAAGUGAUUCUCCUGCCCCAGGCUCCCAAGUAGCUGAGAUUACAGGCGCACGCCACCACGCCCAAUUAAUUUUUUGUAUUUUUAGUCGAGAUGGGGGUUUUGCCAUGUUGGCCAGGAUGGUCUUGAUCUCUUGACCGUGUGAUCCGCCCGCCUCGGCCUCCCAAAGUGCUAGGAUUACAGGCGGGAGCCACCGCACCCGGCCAAGUUCCAUAAUUUUCUAAGCACACAGAAGUCGGGACCAUAUGAACCGGCUGUGAAAAGGCGUUGAAAUACAUGGAUGAACCACCGACCCGCAAGGUACGGGGGAGGACGCGAGGCUUCCAUGCCCUUGCUGGGAUUACAGGUGUGAGCCACCACACCCAGCCAUGGCCCC